AUCUGUGAUGACAUAGUUGUCGCCCCAAGCGGAUCGAUUUCUUGAAGUGACCGACUUAUACAACAAUAUAGCCAAACACUGAAAAUUCUGAGU
rnacentral:snoRNA from 1 species